UUUUUAUAUAAACAGGCUACAGUAUUCACAGCGAGAAUUAGGUGGGAGUACAGAAUGGCACAUCCAAAGGUUGUCCCCUUGAUCAGUAACCUCCUUAAAGCUCUCGCCUCUUGGUAAUAAAAGGGGGUGUCGUUUUGGCACCUGCGCACACUUGCUCCUGGUACCUAAUGGACUGCAAUUUCUUGAUUGGAGAUGUGUGCUAGAUGUAUUUUCGUGAUAUAUAUGUGAAUGCAGAAAAGCAAGGUGUAUAAGCCAAUCUAAUGCAGCAGACCAAACUCGCGAGGCAGGCUGUGAAGAUUGCUGUUAUGUUGCUCGUUUGUUUGACGGCUGGCGGUACUCCGAACUCACAUGGGCCAUCGGCCCAGGAUGUAGCAACCCUUAUGUUCCAUGGUUUCCAGCCUGUAACCGAGGGCUCUCUUCACAUUGGAUACUUCUCAUGUGCUACUAUUUCUUAGGAUGUGUUUGGUUCAGAGGCUAUCCCUCGGGGGACAGGGAUAUCCCCUUUUUAAAUGGUUGCCACCCGUUUGGUUUGAGGGAUAGAAGGGAUAAGGAUAGCCAUUAUUCCUGGAAUAUUCCCUAAAACGGGGGAUGUGCGGAGCCGCCGAAAUCUCGCGGGCGAAGCCAGCCACCCUUCUCGUCUCACGCCCGAAGCGUUUUUCUCUCGCUCUCACCCCUCUCUGGAACAGAAAACACUCCUGGAAACAUUAUCCUCUCGAUUCGCUGGUGAGCGACCACGCUGGUGAAUCGUACAAGUGGAAUGGUCGAGCCAUGAGCGGCGGCGGCGGCCGCGCUGCCAUGGUCGGACCCAGAUAGGCACACGCCUGCGGCCCCCACCCGUGCCCCGCCAAAUGGGAGCGCGCCGCCGGUGACUUACGAUGCAGAGUGGCGGCGGCGGCGGCUUCAGUGCCUCUGUCUUUGGGUACGUGAUGCCGGUUUUAUUCGAUCUUUGGGUACGUGAUGCUGGUUUUAUUCGAUCUUGAUAUGCGCCUCUGUUCUCGAUCUGUUUCUGGUGGGCGCAACAACUUCGAUUUGAUCUGGCGGGUGGCACCAGUUGCAUCAGGAGAAAAUGAGGAGAGAAAGUGGUACGAGCAGGAGAUGGCUGAUGAGCUCAAGCUCUUCUACACGUUCAACUAGUAAACCUCAAUUUGUACAGGGCAUUCGUGUACCAAUUUGCAUUCUCUGCUCUGAAUGUGCACUGUUCUUUCUGUCAUCUGAUAGGUUCUGAGAAUCGGCGAAGAUGCAGACCACAGAUGGAUCAGUUCACCUAUCACCAGUACUUGAUACAAAGAUUGUUGUGGUUGUGCACUAGUGUCUUCGAUAUGGAAUUAUUCGAUUAAAAUAAUGCAUGGUCAUCGCAGGAAUUUUUUAGUUAUCACCACAACGUAUCCAUCCCUCAGUCUCUCAAACCAAACACUUAAAAUGGCUAUCUCUAACCAUCCCACCCAACCAAACAAAAAAAGGGUUAUCCCUAGCCAGGUGGUUGGGGAUACCCUCAACCACCCAAACUUAUCCCGGGAACCAAACACAUCCUUAGUGUCUCGACUCUUUUCACAUAAAUGAAUUGGUGAAAGUCUGAACUUGCUGACAAAUCUGUAGAGUCCAUUUUUCUUGUAUUGACGACCGAGCCCAUCAGAGUUGUGUGUUGACAAAUUACAUGGUAUUUUCCUCUCAAAUAAAUUACAUGGUAUAUUAACUGUACAUGGUUUAAAACUUGUAUUGGUACAUGGUUCAAAAGUUAGUAUUAGUUGAUUGAGACACCUUUGAUGCAUUGGGCACAAAACAGAGUACUCCGAGUUACAAUGUAAACUGUGAGUUCCAUGCUUGUUGCUUUGAUUGAUUUUGACUAAUUAGCUAGUCAGUGGUAAUGCUUUUACUGCUUUCACACGCAUUUAGCAGGCCCUUGAUAGCUCAUGAGUGAAUUAACAUUUCUGAUGUGUACAGCCAUAUAGUGGGUACUAAAUCUGAAUGUGAACAUCAU
rnacentral:lncRNA from 1 species